rnacentral:tRNA from 1 species
GCGACCGCGCACGCCUGGAUCCCAGUGCGGCCCAGCUUCCCAAGCUGGACACGCGGGUUCGAUUCCCGUCGCCCGCUC